AGUGAACGCUGGCGGUAGGCCUAACACAUGCAAGUCGAACGGCAGCACAUUAAGAGCUUGCUCUUACGGGUGGCGAGUGGCGGACGGGUGAGGAAUACAUCGGAAUCUACUUUUUCGUGGGGGAUAACGUAGGGAAACUUACGCUAAUACCGCAUACGACCUACGGGUGAAAGCAGGGGAUCUUCGGACCUUGCGCGAUUGAAUGAGCCGAUGUCGGAUUAGCUAGUUGGCGGGGUAAAGGCCCACCAAGGCGACGAUCCGUAGCUGGUCUGAGAGGAUGAUCAGCCACACUGGAACUGAGACACGGUCCAGACUCCUACGGGAGGCAGCAGUGGGGAAUAUUGGACAAUGGGCGCAAGCAUGAUCCAGCCAUACCGCGUGGGUGAAGAAGGCCUUCGGGUUGUAAAGCCCUUUUGUUGGGAAAGAAAAGCAGCAGGUUAAUACCCCGCUGUUCUGACGGUACCCAAAGAAGAAGCACCGGCUAACUUCGUG
rnacentral:rRNA from 1 species